UACAGAGGUCUCAAGCGUUGUUCGGAUUCAUUGGGCGUAAAGAGUGUGUAGGCGGCUUUGUAAGUUCUGUGUGAAAUCUCCCGGCUCAACUGGGAGGGUGCGCCGAAUACUGCAAGGCUUGAGUACUGGAGAGGAUAGCGGAAUUCCUGGUGUAGCGGUGAAAUGCGCAGAUAUCAGGAGGAACACCAAUGGCGAAGGCAGCACUCUGGGACGUGACUGACGCUGAGACGCGAAAGCGUGGGGAGCAAACAGG
rnacentral:rRNA from 1 species